rnacentral:siRNA from 1 species
CAAAAUCUUGUGAGUGCAAAAUUG